AGAACUUAGCAGAGAUGCUUUGGUGCCUUCGGGAACUCUGAGACAGGUGCUGCAUGGCUGCCGUCAGCUCGUGUUGUGAAAUGUUGGGUUAAGUCCCGCAACGAGCGCAACCCUUAUCCUUUGUUGCCAGCGGUUAGGCCGGGAACUCAAAGGAGACUGCCAGUGAUAAACUGGAGGAAGGUGGGGAUGACGUCAAGUCAUCAUGGCCCUUACGAGUAGGGCUACACACGUGCUACAAUGGCGCAUACAAAGAGAAGCGACCUCGCGAGAGCAAGCGGACCUCAUAAAGUGCGUCGUAGUCCGGAUUGGAGUCUGCAACUCGACUCCAUGAAGUCGGAAUCGCUAGUAAUCGUGGAUCAGAAUGCCACGGUGAAUACGUUCCCGGGCCUUGUACACACCGCCCGUCACACCAUGGGAGUGGGUUGCAAAAGAAGUAGGUAGCUUAACCUUCGGGAGGGCGCUUACCACUUUGUGAUUCAUGACUGGGGUGAAGUCGUAACAAGGUAAGCGUAGUGCU
rnacentral:rRNA from 1 species